AACGAACGCUGGCGGCAGGCUUAACACAUGCAAGUCGAACGCUCCGCAAGGAGAGUGGCAGACGGGUGAGUAACGCGUGGGAAUCUACCUGAUACUACGGAACAACAGAGGGAAACUUCUGCUAAUACCGUAUACGCCCUGCGGGGGAAAGAUUUAUCGGUAUCAGAUGAGCCCGCGUAAGAUUAGCUAGUUGGUGGGGU
rnacentral:rRNA from 1 species